GCGUACUGCAGUCACAUAGUCUAUACAUCAAAAUGAACAAGUAUAGGGGACAAGCUCUCAUUUGGUCAUCUGAAUUGAGUCUCUGGUGUUCAGGCCAGCGUGACCAUGGAUUUAAAGAAUAAAAGCGUAUCCAAUUUGGAUUACAUUACGGGGUAACUAGAUUAAAGAGCUAAUCACAAUCGCCCUUCUCCUGGAGCUUCUAAAGCAUUAGUGAGAAUAAUCCCAGUUUCAACUUUUGGAUUAAGGAAUGAGUUGCAUCUUAACAGGUAAGCUUGUGAAGUGAGGUUCAUGACAUCUUUAAAUCAGACACAUCCACUUCAUUAAUACAGUCUAAACCUGUAUUUAUUAACCAUCCCUGGCUAGUCCUGAUCCAGGAUCUUUCGCCCUAAACCAUUAUGAUCUAAAAGGGUAAACGUAUUUUAGAGCAACACCCCUCCAAGUUGAUUUUACAAAUGUUGACAAAAGUAAAGUAGGCCAGGUGUUAUACCAACAUUUGACUUUAUUACUCCAUUUAAAUGUAUAUGCAUCUCUAGUGGACAUAAAUUGACAUAAAACCCAUAGGCUCUCCGGAUGUGUCUGCAAAUGGAUGUUAUCAGCCAUGGAGGGAACAGAGGGUACAAAUCGGAAGACGCAUUCUAUGCUUCACAGGGGGGGGUUGUAGGGGUUAGGGUUAGUGGGAUGGAGAUACAUUGAUAGAUUCUGCCAGGCACCGAACCACACUAGUGUCACUCAGUCCAGUGCUUGUUGUGCAGAAGGGAAUGCUGGAAAACGUGGAGGACUCAGUGCAGUGGACCUGGAGUGUGAGGGGGAAAAGGACACAGAUAUACAUUUUAAGACAGUGUUCACACACCUGGCUGAUUGGCUAUGGGCUGACAAAGAAACACAAUGGACUGGUUGACCAUUGUGAGAACAGACUGGCUGGCAGACCAUUGGGUUUUUACUCCAGGCCCUGCAGGCUUUUCAACUCACAUUCCAUGACUGUGCCUACCAAAAGACAAGCCAGUCAGCAGCCUAGUGGUUAGAGUGUUGGGCCAGAAACUGCCUGGUGACUGGUUCAAAUGCGAGACAACAAGGUGAAAAAAAAUAUAUAUUGUUAUUGUGCCCUUCAGCAAGGCACUUACAUUUGCCCUGUAAGACACUGGAGAAAAAUAAAAGGGGCUCUAACCAAAAAAUGGUGCACACUAACAGAUGGCACAUGUGCCAUCUUGAGAUUUUGAACAAUCUAGCAUCUUAAAUCGUCUAUAUGUUUUAGAAAAUGCAUUGUAAAGAAGCACUUAGUGCUUCAAGCUCUAGUAGACACAGAUAAUGACCAGGAGGAGGUGAUUAGACAUUCCCUGACAAGUAAGAAUUUUCCAUGAAAUACAUGCAUUUCUAAGUUACUGGGAGAAUUAAAAGUUAGCUUUAGUAGGAGGUACCAGAAAACCAUGCCACUGGGAGCAACCGUACAUUUCCUUUAAGUUGACUUCCUCCAAUCCUCACGACGCCUCCGCUGCACUUUUCACACAGGCUGCAAACGCCUCCAUCAGGUCUGCCUUGAUGGUUACACAUGCAGCAGGGACAGGGGCCUCGGCGGGAGCGGUGGUCUCUGAGUCCGACAUGUCUGUAGAGUUGCUGUGUCUGUGAGCGUCUCCUCUGCACGGCUGUGGGUUGCGUGUGCCAGAGAUAGAGAGGGAGAGAGCGCGAGGAAAGAGCAAAGCGCGUUAGUGGGAGGGACAAGAGAACACACGAGGGUAGAAGGAAAGGGAGGGGGGGGAAUGUGACAUGACAGAACAUGUGUACAUAAGCAUUGGCAUGAGGCGGGGGGCGUAAGGGGAAGG
ensembl:lncRNA